AUAGAUGCCAUGAAGGCCCUGAUAGAGACAAAGGCAAAAAAGAAUUCAAUCAGGAAUGAUUUUGGUCCAGAUUUGGGACUAAAACUAGAUGUUUCUCCUUAUUUACCUGAUAAAGGAUGAUUAAGCCUUUAUUGACACAGGCACAGAGAAGCGGAGUGCUGCUUGUGGACAAAAAAAUCGUAAGAACUGAGAUAGGAGUUCUUCUUCGCCUCUCACAUCCAAACAUUAUAAAACUUAAAGAGAUAUUUGAAACCCCUACAGAAAUCAGUCUGGUCCUAGAACUCGUCACAGGAGGAGAACUGUUUGAUAGGAUUGUGGAAAAGGGAUAUUACAGUGAGCGAGAUGCUGCAGAUGCCGUUAAACAAAUCCUGGAGGCAGUUGCUUAUCUACAUGAAAAUGGGAUUGUCCAUCGUGAUCUCAAACCAGAGAAUCUUCUUUAUGCAACUCCAGCCCCAGAUGCACCACUCAAAAUUGCUGAUUUUGGACUCUCUAAAAUUGUGGAACAUCAAGUGCUCAUGAAGACAGUAUGUGGAACCCCAGGGUACUGCGCACCUGAAAUUCUU
rnacentral:sRNA from 1 species